UCUGCUGGAUCCACCCAACCUCGGGUUGAAAAGUCAAAGCUGGACCUGUGUACUCACUAGUGUGCAGCCAUGGACAGGCUUACUUCCUCAUUCCUGCUGCUGAUUGUCCCUGCAUAUGUCCUGUCCCAGGUUACUCUGAAAGAGUCUGGCCCUGGGAUAUUGCAGCCCUCACAGACCCUCAGUCUGACUUGCUCUUUCUCUGGGUUUUCGCUGAGCACUACUAAUAUGGGUGUGGGCUGGAUCCGUCAGCCCUCAGGGAAGGGUCUGGAGUGGCUGGCAACCAUUUGGUGGGAUGAUGAUAAGGGCUAUAACCCAUCACUGAAGAGUCGGCUUACAAUCUCUAAGGACACCUCCAACAACCAGGUAUUCCUCAAGCUGGCCAGUGUGGACACUUCAGAUACUGCCACAUACUACUGUGCUCGGAGAACACAUUGAAACAGUCUCAGUUUUCAGCUGUACGUUAUUUCAGGCUGGUUCUCAGCACUGUUUUUUCUAUUAUAUCAGAAGAGUGUACAGCUACAGCUUUCCUGCUGGCCUCUGUGGUUUCCUGUUUGCUCUUAAAUUAAGAGCUUUCUAUUCCUUUUCUUCACCCUAGGUUCCUAUUAUAAUGUUCAUAAAUGA